AGUCAUGUCUUAUAAGCCAAGGAUGGCUUGCCUGGCUAAGAACCAUUACAAGGGACUUAAUUUGUAUAUAUUCAUUCUAUGAUCAUAUACAUAUGAUUUAAGUAAAGUCCCUUGUUUGGAAUUAUCAGCAGGCGGGUAGUCCUAGGCUUUGUGACUGUCUCU
rnacentral:pre_miRNA from 1 species